AAGAAUACCUCCUAUACGGUACCAAACUACCCCACUUACGGAGCCUUUCGAAAGCAGAAAAUCAGUAUGAAUUUUGUAUAUUUUGUUUCAACUUUUUUUUUUGUUAAGAGUCUUAACCUCCUUACAAGAUCGUAGCUUAAGGCAUACAUCCUUCAUCGGCCACGAUAGAGGAACAAAUAAUGUACUUACUUGUAUUGAAAGCUUUACAAAUUUCAACGGCAUAGUAACAACUUGUAAAGGGUCUUCUUAAAAUAUAGAUAAAAGGCGGCUGAACUUGAUGUUGACUGGCAAUGUUGGGUAUACAAAUCUAAAAUUGAUGAGCUUGAAUGCAAUAACCUAGUAUCUGGAACCUUCGAAAAGUUUUAAAGAAACACGUAACAAAUCCUUUUUAUUUGAAGAGGCUUUCAAGCAAAAGUUACAAUAUUUAAUUGCAUAACACACCUUCAAACUCUGACUUUCGCUAACGGCCUAGAAAUGAUAAACUCAUUAAAGACUUCUAUUUUUUAAAAUUAAUAUUUUUAAUUAAUGGUUGAAAUAUUCAGAAGAACUUCAAAUUUAACUACUUUUAACUUACUGACAUCGUUAUUUUCUUUCCAAAUUUUUUUAUCAGAUCAAGCCUCAACGUACAUCAUUGUGACAGAAUACAGUCUACACCAAUUUAUGAAUAAGCAUUAAGUAUAGCCCUAGCCGAACUUUUUUACUAUCUAACGAAACGCAUCACAUUAUAUAAUAGGCUUUAUGAAGCUAAAACCUUAUGAACCACAAUGUCGAUAACUUCAAAACAGCAACAAUCAUGCUAGAAGUGGACGGGCAAUUUGAAGCAUCUAACACAGUAUACGUAAUUCUUUAACAAUAUUUUUGAGUA